AACAGCAUUGGCGGCGCGCUGGUAGAUCUAAUAAUUGACUGCAUCUUUUCAUUUCUUUAUUUUACAACAGUUGUCCUUUAAGAUCUAUUACUAUUAGAUCUAGUCUAGUUUACAAGAUUUCUCAUCGUCAACAGCAAGCCGUCUGAACUGAACUCAGUUUCAAUCACUAACCACAGAUUAUCUGUACCGGCACUGAAUACUCAAAAUUGACUGGAUAAAGGCUGUAAAUCACUAAAAUAAUAAUUAAAAGAUGAUUGAUGUCUCACAAUGGAGAGCAAGUAUUGGACUG